UACGGGGGGAGCAAGCGUUGUUCGGAUUUACUGGGCGUAAAGGGCGCGUAGGCGGCACCGCAAGUCGAUUGUGAAAUCUCCGGGCUUAACCCGGAAAGGUCAACCGAUACUGCGGGGCUAGAGUGCAGAAGGGGCUACUGGAAUUCUCGGUGUAGCGGUGAAAUGCGUAGAUAUCGAGAGGAACACCUGCGGCGAAGGCGGGUUGCUGGGCUGACACUGACGCUGAAGUGCGAAAGCUAGGGGAGCGAACGGG
rnacentral:rRNA from 1 species